rnacentral:rRNA from 1 species
UACGAAGGGGGGCUAGCGUUGCUCGGAAUCACUGGGCGUAAAGGGUGCGUAGGCGGAUCUGUAAGUCAGGGGUGAAAUCCCGGGGCUCAACCUCGGAACUGCCUUUGAUACUGCAAAUCUCGAGUCCGGAAGAGGUGAGUGGAAUUCCUAGUGUAGAGGUGAAAAUUCGUAGAUAUUAGGAAGAACACCAGUGGCGAAGGCGGCUCACUGGUCCGGUACUGACGCUGAGGUGCGAAAGCGUGGGGAGCAAACAGGG